AGAAUUCGGUUAAAAGUAAGCCAUUGGCCUUCAAAGCUAAAAAUGUAGGUGCAAGUCCUACUUUCUCUG